AGAACAGAACCAGCAGGCGGCGGCACACAGCAAGCAGUCAAGCACCAGCCGCCACCGCCCACCGCCGGUCGCCAGUCGCCACUGCUCCAUGGCGUGCCCCCAAAUCCCGUGACGGGCUGACGGCGUGACUCAUCUUCCUCCUCUCCUCUCUGUAACAGUAAAAACUGUGAUCCGCUGUAAUGGCUAGUGAAGGUGAAGCUUCACCUCCACGAAAGCGUAUGUUGUUGGAGUUACCUAGUGAACAUCAAAGUCAGAACUUGACAUCCUCACCUCAUGCAAAUACAACUCAACCUUUUGGUGUGUCUGCAUCAUCAUCAACACCUGCUGCAACAUCUCAUGAACAAGGUGCAAAUCCAGAAGAAGGAAUUAAUUUGGAUGAGGAUGAUCCUUCAAAAUUGAAGCAAGCAAAGAAGUCCACUUCAAAUGUUUGGCAGUAUUUUGAAAAGUAUGAGGUUGUCGUAGAGGAGAAUGGCAAAUCUGUGAAGCAAGUUUGGGCCAAAUGCAAGUAUCCGGGAUGCAAAAACAAGACUAGCAAAGCUAGGGCUGAAAGUAGUAGAGGAACAACUGCAUUUUGGUCUCAUUUGAAAAAUUAUCAUAAGAUUGUGAAGGGGCAACAAGAGCUCAAGGCAGAAAAGGAUCAUGGCACAGUGCGGGUGGUCGUGUACUUGAUCCAUUUCGUACUCGCCUUGACCCUACCAUGGUAGAAGCGCUUGUCUGCACCAAAGAUUGGAUAACUGGAGCAAGAAAAGGUUCCAAGGCUAAGAGUGUUGCUAUUCCUAAUAUGGUUUGUGAAAUGGAGGAACUUGAGGCUCUUGCUAGAAAUCUUUCACUUGAGGAUGAAGACCUAGAUGAUGAUCAUGAUGAUGGACCAGAGGCAUCGUUGUAAGCUUGUUGAUGAAGACCUAGAUGAUGAUAAUGCAACAUGAAUGCUCUGAAUGUUUUUAUUGUACUUGUUGCGUAAUGCUUUGUGAUCUUGCGAACUUGGGACUUGUGGACUUGUGGCUGUGUACUUUGUGAUCUGUGUGAUGAACUUGUUAUAUUGUGAACUUGUGAUCUGUGUGAUCCACUUAUUAUAUUGUGAACUUGUGAUCA